rnacentral:tRNA from 1 species
ACCUGGGUAGCUCAGUCGGUUGAGCAUCCGACUUCAGCUCAGGUCAUGAUUUCACAGUUCGUGGGUUCGAGCCCCACGUUGGGCU